AGGAGCCGUAUGCGGUAGUGCCGCACGUACGGAUCUGUGGAGGGGGUGCUGGGUGACUGGCAUUCCUACUCUGAC
rnacentral:misc_RNA from 1 species